rnacentral:tRNA from 1 species
GCCUGGGUGGUUCAGUUGGUUGAGCAUCUGACUUCAGCUCAGGUCAUGAUCUCAGGGUCUUGGGAUCGAGUCCCACAUCAGGCU